rnacentral:lncRNA from 1 species
UGCCCAGGCAGCCAAGGGGAAUUCCCACAAUGACCACCCGGCUGUGUACAUUCUGUUUUCUUUUACUGCCCUAGGAUGGCAACCCGACAUGAGGAUCUGCAACAGCUGCCCACCUGGUGGAAGGGGUAAGCCUCCCUCCAGUACAGAAAUGUAGGGAGCCAUCCAGCAAGUCAAAGGAUUGUAAUGCCAUCCCAGAGUCAAGAGCCAGUAUCUGACCAGUAGUGGAGGAUAUCUCUUUAAUCACCCAUGCCCAAAAGGUAUCACUGAGUAUCCCCACAACAUGGGCAAAAAAGAUCUUUACUACCACACCCUCUCCAGCACUUGGAAGAGAAGAGGUAGACUUUGGGAUUCUAGACAAUCUCUCUGGGGCCCAAUGUCAUCACAGUACAGCCUUAAGUUCCUCUUCCUAUAUCCAAGCCAGGGCCGUCUUAAGCAUAUCCGGUGCCAUGGUGCAAAGCUCCCUCCGGCACGCCCUCCCCCAUUUCCCAGAGUUUUUUUAGGGAGGACAGCACUGCCAGUGGGGUUGGAGGAAGCAGGCAGCAGCUGGAGGGCAGCUCCUAUGGCAGAGAAGAGGUGGAGGCUGGGGGAGGGCAGCAAGCUGAUGCUGGGAGGCACCUUGUCCAGCUUCCACCUCUUCCCUGGCGCCCUCCAGAACCUGGUGCCCUGGCACCCUGCGCCACUAGCCUCUAUAGGUAAGACGCCCCUGAUCCUAGCUGAAAAAGUCUGAAGCCAGGGCUGUACGUAGAUUGUUCCCCAAACCUGAUUUUCAGUUUAGAUUGCUAAACCCUCCUCCCAAAUCCUUUCAAACUUCCAUAUGAAUGUCUAGUAGCAAUUUAUGUUUCUUUGAUCCUACCCCCUGCAAAAAUUGUUAAUGACUGAAGCCCAGCCCUUCACCUUCCUACAGGGUUGUUGCUCCACACAGUUUGUUGCUCUCUAGAUGUUACUCAAUUCCAACUCCCACCAGCCCCAACCAGCAUGGCCAAGAGUCAGGGGUGGUGGGUGGUGGAGUCUAGCAAUAUCUGGAGUGUCGCAGGUUCCACACCCCUUGUCUGGUUCAAAGUGUUAAUAUGCCUCUGAAAUAGAUCUCCAAAAUUUUGAGAUCUCAGGGUGCAAACGAGUACUUAUUACUCAAUAGAUCUCUUAAGAGAAAUUCUAGCACCAUUCAUAAUCCUGAAAAGCUAGCAAAAACACUGUUUUAGAAUUAGGUAUCUAUCUAAAACAACUACUUGAGAUCAUUGCCCAGAGUGAGGAAGGUUUUUUUUAUAUAAAAAGCUCAGCUGUAUAAUUCAAGAAGCAUUUUAUAAAGCCCACUUACAAAGUGCUGAGACAUUAUGCAACAAAUGUGAGUGUUAAAACAUGUCAUAAAGCAACUUGUCUCCCAAAGAUAAUGGAUUUGGUUCCACUGAAGAUAGUAAUCUGUGAAAAUAAUUUUGCUUAAUGUUCACUGAAUUUGUGGGUUUUAAGUAAAAACGUUUCCAGAAGGGGCAAGAGAUUUUUUUUCUUUUUUCUUUUUACCAGCUUUGAAAAAGAUACCCCAAUUCUAGCCGCUGAAUCCACAGGAAACAUUUUUCAGGGAUGAUGGGAAUAGUGGGGAUUCACCUAACCUGCUUCACACAUUGGAAGAUUUGGGAGGAGCUAUAGGAUUGCACUCAUUUGACCCAUUCCCCAUGACAAAAUUCUUCCCCCUCAACAGUACACCCACCAUGAAUGGGUGCGUACACCCCAGCCAACCAUGAAUUUGGGGACUAUGUGAUGGGGCUCAGUAUGCAUCUUCCUAUAUACAAAAAGUAAAAUGUCACCAAGCAGUUUGUGUGGCUUCCCAUGCAUGCUGCAGCACAGAGCAUGGCGGGCUGGCCCAGGUGAGCUGUUUAAUGAAGUGUGUGUAUGUGUGUGUGGGGGGGUGUACUUUGCGCCUCCCCCUUCCACUAAAUGUGCCUGCAAUGAGCUUUAAUGGGGGAGGCCCUUGACCCAGAAGUUUAGCAAGCCGCAGGAUGAAGCACUUACCUUGCACAUUAAAUGUGCCUUUCAAAGGAGGUGGAGGUUGGGGCAAGCUGUGAGUGGAGGGGCUUGGGAUGAUCUGUGAAGGGAGUGGUGAGCUGUGAGAGGAUGGGCAAGGGGGUGGGCGAGGUGGAAAGGGAGGGGAUCUUGGUAUGAGAAAGAGCAAUUGCCAAAGGGGUAGGUGGGUUGGAGAGCAGAGAUGGGGCAGAGUCCCUAGUAUGUACACACACAUACAUGUGUACACACACACACACAUGUACACACACACACACACACACGUAUGUACACAAAUGUUCUCCAUUCAGGAUCCCCUUUCCCUGAAAGCGUCUGAAGGUCAUACACCAGUACCUGUGAAGCCCCAGUAGGCAAUAUACAACAGUGGUUGCCACAGGGGUUUGGGCAGGAUGGCAUUGCUUGGCUUCCCAGCGCCAUUUUGUUCUCAGUUACUGAGAGGGAGAUGCAGUGGGAAUCAGUGCUGGCACAGUGCCAAUCCAACACUCCUGCCAUUGACUCACACGUCACCAAGCUCCUCACAGCCUUUCAUUCUCAGUAACCAGCAGUGAUGUGCAGCAUUGGGGAAGCACCACCUGAGAUCACCACUGGCCACAUCUGCCAAUAUGAUGCAGUACGUUUCCGAGCACAAUUCAAAGUGUUGGUGCUGACCUUUAAAGCCCUAAAUGGCCUCGGUCCAGUAUAUCUGAAGGAGUGUCUCCACCCCCAUCGUUCUACCCGGACACUGAGGUUCAGCUCUGAGGGCCUUCUGGUGGUUCCCUUACUGUGAGAAGCCAAGUUACAGGGAACCAGGCAGAGGGCCUUCUCAGUAGUGGCACCUGCCCUGUGGAACACCUUCCCACCAGAUGUCAAAGAGAACAACUACUACCAGACUUUUAGAAGACAUCUUCUAAAGGCAGCCCUGUUUAGGGAAGCUUUUAAUGAUUGAUGCAUUACUGUAUUUUAAUAUUUUGUUGGAAGAAAAAUAUUUUGUGGGGAAACCCAGCCAGAUGGGCGGGGUAUAAAUUAUUAUUAUUAUUAUUAUUAUUAUUAUUAUUAUUAUUCCGGUGUGGCUGGACUAAAGCAUCCAUCAUCCCCGAUCAUUUGCCACACUGGCAGGGGCUGAUGGGAGUUGUUGAACUACAACUUCAUGGCCCCUUCACAUGGCGGCCAAACUCACAGCUAGGGUGGCAUGGCCAUUGCACAUCUUUGUGGGAAGGGAAAGCUUACCAGCACGCCCCCACAAUCCCAAACUGUAUGCUUUCAACACAUGAGAGAGAGGUAGGUCAUCUGACUAACUUCAGAGAAGUCAUCCCCUUUACAUGCCAAUAGAAAUAAGGGACCUCCAACCUCCACACAAACACAAGCAUCAAGCACCAGGGAGAGGUAGGUCCCCAAUUCUGUAAAUAAAGAGUACAACUAACAUAGGAAAUCUAGCAGAGAAAACCAUUUAUAUCAAAGUUCUCAUAUACGCCCAGGGGAUUGCAUCGUGGAAAGUGUCGAUUUAAAAGGCUUCCUGCGGAAGGAACAUCUCCUUAAAAUCGGUCUAGUUGUAUUUACGAUGCAAAAACUUGUUUGAUGGCAUAACACUGUAAAUCUUAACCUGAGACUUGCAAUUCAGUGAAACGUUGAACGAAAGGAAUGUUUAUAUUCAUAUUCUUUAUCCUUCUUUUAUGCUCACUGGUUUGUGUGCACCACACAAACCAGACAGCAUUCACACAGAAUAGCAUCACUCACAUGAGUUCUGUUCAGGCAUUAAGCCAAAUGUGUGAGGGCAAAACAGCUUGUAGAGGGUGCAUCUGUUUGCCCUGUCUGCUCCACCCCUGACCUUUCCAAUAGAGUCAGGCAGUGUUAUUUUUUCUAGAUAAAGAGGUGCCAGAACUCACCAUAAACGCCCCCCUUGUUCUAUUAUAAUGGCAGUGGUGCCCACCUGAAAGGUGCCGGAACUGAGUUCUGGCAACUUCUGGCUGAAAAAAAGGCCCAUAGUCAGCCAUAACUAAGGUGGCCUACACAUGAUUGGUCAGAUUCAACUACCCCAUUCCACUAGGGGAAGCUAGCACAUGGAUGCUUGCUGGCACAAUGGAACUUUCCCCUCCUUCCCCAAAUCUGUGCAAGGGAAAGAGAGGGGAGGUGGUUUCUUCUGACAAGCAGAAAUGCUUGCACCGAAGGAACUAUCUCUUUAGUGCUAUGUUAAAUUCCACCCUGUAGAAUUAAAGCACAUUCCCGCCUCCCCCUGCCAAGAAUCCUGAGAACUGUAAUUUGUUAAGGGUGCUGACAGCUGUCAGGAGCCCCUUCACAAAGCUACAAUUCCCAGCACCCACAACAAACUACAGCUCCCAGGAUUCAGGGAGGUGCCAUGCAACUGAAUACCAGUCGCAGGACAUCACAAGCAGGAGAGUGCUGUGGAAUUCAAGUCCUGUGAUAUAAGUGAAAUGAAUUAAAGGCUGGGGUGAAGCUUGUGAGGGCUUGGCGUUCAAUCUUUUUUUGCAUUGUUAGUUAAAGAAACAACUUAGGUAGUAGAGCUUUAUGGAAUGUCGGCCUGAGACACCCAGGAAAGAUACAUCAGAUCAGUCACUUCCAUAAAUCGGAGCUAUGAUGCUAGGCAAGAUCAGCCAUUGAUGUGGCUAAAUGUAAGUUAGUUUCUUAGAUCUCAACAUUUCAGCAAAUGUGGAACAAAGAGAUCAUGAGUAACUGAAGCCAAUCAAUUGCAAAAUGGAUCAGAGUCAAGGCUGAGUAGAAUUGUUUUCCAUUAUGAUUAUUUAGAUGCUUGAGUCGUCUCAUUCCUGCCAACAAUAUGUUAUUCAGUUGAAAUGGAAAUAAGGUAUCUGAAUAGGGUAUACAUCUUGCAACUUUGUGAAUGAUGGAAAGAUCUGAAGUUGGACACUUGACCCUUUUAAACUUGUUGGUAAUGUUGGAAUUCAUUGUUACAUUGUCAUAAAAGCUUUCAUUAACACUGUGACUGCACUUACUGUGAAAAACCUUGUUGUGCUCCAUUUCCAGCUGUAACAAACACUAAAUAAAAUAAAAUAAUGAGUAAUAUUAAUCCAUCCUUGAACGUGAGAGAGCCUCAAAGAGCAGUAUGGCAAUUGUAUUUACAUAUUGCAUGCUGUAUUUGAUAUUAUGGUUGAGGCCAAUUGGUGUUCCGCUGGCACUAUAUAUUCACAGCUAAGGGCUGGCCAGGAAGAGGGAGGAAAGAGAAAGAGAUUUAGCGUUAUGGCAGAGACCAGGGGUGGGGAACCUGUGGCCAUCCAGACGUUGCUUGCCAACUUCAUUGAGACCCAACCAACAUGGCUAAUGGUCAAGGAUAUUAGAAGAUGAAGUCCAACAGUAUCUGGAGGUCCACAGGUUCCCCAGCCCUUCUAUAGAGAUCACCUCCUCUCUUCCUAGGGUAGACAUGUGCCUUAUUUUCCAGAGGAAGUGAGUUGUUUGAAUGGCAACUCACUCUAGGUCUGGUUGAAGGAUAAAGAAAAAUAAAUGGCUCAGGACCACAAUACCUCAAAGAACACCUCUUUCCAUAUGAACCUACCCAGACCCUGAGAUCAUCAUCUGAGGCCCUCCUUCAUGUGCCACCUCAUUGUGAGGUCUGGAGGGUGGUAACACGAAAACGGGGCCUUCUCUGCCCCAUCUGUGGAAUGCUCUCCCCAGGGAAGUUUGCCUGGUGCCUUCAUUAUACACAUUUAGGCACCAGGCAAAAACAUUCCUUUUUAACUAGGCCUUUGGUUGAUUUGAUUUACAUCCUAUCACCUUGUAAAAAAAAAAAAUGGGGGGGCAGCUAUUGGGUUGUUGUUUUUAUGUAUUCUGUAUUUAUGUAUCUUGAUUUUAUUCUGUGAACCGCCCUGAGACCCCCAGGUAUAGGGAGGUAUAUAAAUUCAAUAAAUAAAAAUAAAAAAUAACCAGGGAGAUUGGGGACCUUAAGAUUGUCCAGCAACGGUUACACCCGGGCAGUAGAUUGAGCUGGCACACAGGGCUGGUGUUAUGAUUUUGUGUUGUGAUAGAGACCAGGGUUGGGCAGGCACGGCAUCUAUGUGGGACUGUGAGUGGCCGGGCACCCGCCAAAUUGCAGUUACGCCAACUUGUCAGCCGCCUAGGCCACAGACCUCGGAAGGGCACAGUUUUCAACAGAUUGGUUUUAGUUAUAUCUUAUACAUUCCCAAUAUUUUACUUUUAUUUCAUAUCCCUGACACAGUUUCUGAAAGCUCAAACAUAUAAAAACUUGAAAUGUCGCGAAAGACAUAGUUGAUUUGGCAACUAUAGCCGCAGAACAUGCCCUAGCGUCAGCCCUCAGCCUGAGGGAAUUGUGGACAAAACUUGCAAAGGAAAAGGCACGCAAAGUGACGUUUUGCUGUGAAACUUUUAAGGGACUUAAAUUUUAAAAUGGCAAUUUGUGAGAUUAUUCAAAAUGGUUUGUGUGCUUGCACCUUUCCUUCUGAAUCUGAGAAAGAUAAUCAAAUAUUGUAUUACUUAUUCUUGCAAUUUAAAACAAAUCUAGCAGUUCCAGGUGUGGGGCUGUUCAUGUUUUCUACCAGAUACCUGUUUUUGAAAAUUGAAGUUAGCAUUUUUUUUAAAAUUUUGAGGAGGUGAGUGCAAGUAUUUAGCCUUGCCUAGGGUGCAAAAAUAGCCUGGUGUGGCUCUGCUGGCACACAUUCUCCCUCAUUACAGUGAGAGGCAUCACAUUUCUAUUUAAAUUAUACUAAUUAUUUCUAAAUUUGCAUUUCUACGCUCACACAUAUAAGCACAUGCAACUUUUGUAUGCAAAUUUGUGCUGUGUUUGCCACCCCCUCCAUUCUGGGUGGUGAAUAAGUAGUCACCUUGUAUCCACCUCCUCCCUCAGUUCUUGAGAUUUACUGAAGCCCCAAUCCAGAUCCCAUCAUGCGUGGAUAUUCCAUUGGAAGCUUCAAGGAGGUGGGUCUUUUCAGUAGGGAUGCUAUCACUUGGAAGAUUGCCAGCAGCAAAGUAGAAAGAAAAUUGCUCUUCCAUCAAGCUUUUAAGAGUUGAAUGAUCUUAUUUAUGCUAUUGAUAGUUGCUUUAGUUUUAUGAUUUAAGUGGCAUUAAAGCAGGGUUGGAGAAUCUUAAGCCUGUCAGUUGUUGCUAGACCCCUUUUUUUGCCAAUUAAUUUUUAUUGAAUUUCCUUUCUUUUUAAGCAAAUUAACAUCAAAUUAAAUACAUAAUUUAAUGCAUAAUUUAAAAGUUGACUUCCCAUCCUUCUUCCAUGGUCUUCUAUGCAGCAUUUUACCUUUAUCUAUUCUAUAAUUCUAUAAUUCUUCUAUUAAUAUUAUAUUUUAUUUUCCAUCCACUGUUCAUAUUUUAAUUCUGCAAGCGAUUCCAUUUAACAUCUAAUAUCUCUGAAUGUCUAAAUAGGGAGUUUAUGAGGAAUUAAAGAACCUUUUAAUGAGGGUGAAAGAAGAGAGCGCAAAAUAUGGUUUGAAGCUCAACAUCAAAAAAACGAAGAUCAUGGCCACUGGGCCCAUCACCUCCUGGCAAAUAGAAGGGGAAGAAAUGGAGGCAGUGAGAGAUUCUACUUUCGUGGGCUCCAUGAUCACUGCAGAUGGUGACAGCAGUCACGAAAUUAAAAGACGCCUGCUUCUUGGGAGAAAAGCAAUGACAAACCUAGACAGCAUCUUAAAAAGCCGAGACAUCACCUUGCCAACAAAGGUCCAUCUAGUUAAAGCUAUGGUUUUCCCAGUAGUGAUGUAUGGAAGUGAGAGCUGGACCAUAAAGAAGGCUGAUCACUGAAGAAUUGAUUUCUUUUGAAUUUUGGUGCUGGAGGAGACUCUUGAGAAUCCCAUGGACUGCAAGAAGAUCAAACCUAUCCAUUCUUAAGGAAAUCAUAGAAUCAUAGAAUCAUAGAGUUGGAAGAGACCACAAGGGCCAUCGAGUCCAACCCCCUGCCAAGCAGGAAACACCAUCAGAGCACUCUUGACAUAUGGUUGUCAAGCCUCUGCUUAAAGACCUCCAAAGAAGGAGACUCCACCACACUCCUUGGCAGCAAAUUCCACUGUCGAACAGCUCUUACUGUCAGGAAGUUCUUCCUAAUGUUUAGGUGGAAUCUUCUUUCUUGUAGUUUGGAUCCAUUGCUCCGUGUCCGCUUCUCUGGAGCAGCAGAAAACAACCUUUCUCCCUCCUCUAUGUGACAUCCUUUUAUAUAUUGGAACAUGGCUAUCAUAUCACCCCUUAACCUCCUCUUCUCCAGGCUAAACAUGCCCAGCUCCCUUAGCCGUUCCUCAUAAGGCAUCGUUUCCAGGCCUUUGACCAUUUUGGUUGCCCUCCUCUGGACACGUUCCAGUUUGUCAGUGUCCUUCUUGAACUGUGGUGCCCAGAACUGGACACAGUACUCCAGGUGAGGUCUGACCAGAGCAGAAUACAGUGGCACUAUUACUUCCCUUGAUCUAGAUGCUAUACUCCUAUUGAUGCAGCCCAGAAUUGCAUUGGCUUUUUUAGCUGCCGCGUCACACUGUUGGCUCAUGUCAAGUUUGUGGUCAACCAAGACUCCUAGAUCCUUUUCACAUGUACUGCUCUCAAGCCAGGUGUCACCCAUCUUGUAUUUGUGCCUCUAUUUUUUUUUGCUCAAGUGCAAUACUUUACAUUUCUCCCUGUUAAAAUUCAUCUUGUUUGUUUUUGCCCAGUUCUCUAAUCUGUCAAGGUCGUUUUGAAGUGUGAUCCUGUCCUCUGGGGUGUUAGCCACCCCUCCCAUCUGCAAAUUUGAUCAGGAUGCCCUUGAGUCCAUCAUCGAAGUCGUUGAUAAAGAUGUUGAAUAAGACCGGGCCCAAGAUAGAACCCUGUGGCACCCCACUAGUCACUCUUCUCCAGGAUGAAGAGGAACCAUUGAUGAGCACCCUUUGGGUUCGGUCAGUCAGCCAGUUACAAAUCCACUGAGUGGUAGCAGAGUCAAGACCGCAUUUUACCAGCCCUGAGUGCUCACUGGAAGGACAGAUCCUGAAGCUGAGGCUCCAAUACUUUGGCCACCUCAUGAGAAGAGAAGACUCCCUGGAAAAGACCCUGAUGUUGGGAAAGAUGGAGGGCACAAGGAGAAGGGGACGACAGAGGACGAGAUGGUUGGACAGUGUUCUCGAAGCUACAAACUUGAGUCUGACCAAACUGCGGAAGGCAGUGGAAGGCAGGAGUGCCUGGCGUGCUCUGGUCCAUGGGGUCACGAAGAGUCAGACAUGACUAAACGACUGAACAACAACAACAACAUUCUUCCAAAAUUUACUCUCUUCAUCCCUGACCACCAGCUAUGCUGACUGUGGAUGGUGGAAUUUAGGUCCAACAACAUCCACUUCAAAGGGUUGGAUUUGUAUUUGUGUGUGUGUGUGUGUGUGUGUGUGUGUUGCUUCACUAACUGCUUUGGAAAUGUAGCAUAUAAUUGAUGUAAACAGAAUCAAUAAAGUGAUGCCCUAAAUAAAAACUUAAGAUAAAACAAUGCAACUAACCAUCUAGAGCAUCUCUGUUCCUUCAUGUGCCAAACAGAUGACUGCCAGCUUUGAAAAUGCAUGUUGAGGCAGAAAGGGAGAACAAAUGACCUAGAUUCCAUCCCCUCCUGGUCCAGACAGGUGACUGGUGCUGUCAAACCACAUCAGGCUGACCAUCCAUUUGGAGAUGUAUGCACAGUCUAGAAAGAAUCAGCACCAUGUGCACACUCCAGGUUCUGGAAGUUGUUUAUAUCAUGCAGCACAUUUCAAAACAUGCAAAGCAAACCCAACACGCUUCUCCACAUGCCAAAGGGCACGUGAACAGACUUUCCGUCAUCAGAGCACUUUGCCUUAGGGUGAAGUGUGCUACUAGAAUGUACAGGUAUCCCAAAGCAUGCAGCGAUCCUACGGAUGAAUGCAAUUUCAUCCCAUUUUAAUUGGUGCAAGCUAGCAUGCAUGAUAUGUGAACGAGACAAUUUUCAAUACUUGAAGAAUCCAAUCGAUUGAUGAAAUCAAACUGUUAACCUUCCAGCCAGCUUUCUAUUGAAAGGGGUUUGGGAAGGGAAAUUUAGAACUGGCACAAGAUAGCAGGAUGAGUUGUUUUCUUGGUUUUGCGGUGCUGAUGUCAGAGAUUGAGAAAGAGCUCACAUGCUUAGUAUGCCUAAAUCCCCAAAUCCAAUCUCUAGUCAAAGGUGACAAGGAGGCCUGUGAUCUGCUGAUUAAAACCAUACACACCACUUUCUAUAAAUAUUUUUUUACUCAGAGCCGUUCACAGACACAAUCAAAAAAACAAUACAGUGGUACUUUGGUUUAAGAACAGCUUAGUUUAUGAACAACUUGGAUUAAGAACGCUGCAAACCCGGAAGUAGGUGUUUUGGUUUGUGAACUUUGCCUUGGAAGCAGAACAUGUUCUGCUUCCUGUUGAGUGUGUUCCAUUUGUAAAUUAAACCCCCUGCUGCUAUGGGAAAGCACGCCUUGGUUUAAGAAUGCUUUGGUUUAAGAACGGACAUCCGGAAUGGAUUAAGUUCAUAAACCAAUGUACCACUGUAUUGUGAAAGAACAACCAUGGUACAAUUUAUAACUCCAAUUUAUAACAAUUUAUAACAAUUUAUAACUCCUUAAAACUAAUAGCAGGGACUCAAACUAUAAGGGGAAGGGUCAUAGCUGUGGUACCAGGGGCAGACCUUGCUAAUAUGCCACUCUGCAAGGUUAUUUUGAUGCCAUAUUCCCAGCCCUCAAGGCUUGAGGCUCUGGCAGGGUCCUAGAACCCUCCUUCCUCCUUCCCAAAUCCCAGUAAGUGUUUGCUUUGCUUUGGGAAGUAGGAGGAGGACUCUAGGAGCCUGCCAGAGCCCUCACUCCUCCUUCCUGAAACUGGGCAAGCACUUGUCAGGCUUUGAGAAGGUACCUUUCUUGGCUGCAUGCCCAGUGUGACCACACUGCUUGCACUGCCCUAAUUCCGCCCUUCAUGGCGGAGCUGAAGGUCCUAGCUGCAAUUCUCAUGACUUCCAGGUAGAGCUGGGCGAAACUCCUACCUGAAAUUCUGGAGGCUUGCUGUGAGUCAGUGCAAACAACACAGAUCUGUUUCGAUACAAAGCCGCUUCCAAUGUUCCUAAUCAUGGAGGGAGAAAUUUCAGUUCAUAAACUCAAAAGAGCAGGGAGAAGGAAACCCUUCUAGAGUAGAUGAAACACUGAAGUUUGCAGGAGGAGAAUUAUUCCUGUAUAUGAGGACCCUGGCACUUUUAAGCCUUUCCAACAUUCCAUAUUAUGUUGUUGUUGUUUAGUCGUGUCCGACUCUUCGUGACCCCAUGGACCAGAGCACGCCAGGCACUCCUGUCUUCCACUGCCUCCUGCAGUUUGGUCAAACUCAUGCUGGUAGCUUAGAGAACACUAUCCAACCAUCUCGUCCUCUGUUGUCCCCUUCUCCUUGUGCCCUCCAUCUUUCCCAACAUCAGGGUCUUUUCCAGGAAGUCUUCUCUUCUCAUGAGGUGGCCAAAGUAUUGGAGCCUCAGCUUCACGAUCUGUCUUUCCAGUGAGCACUCAGGGCUGAUUUCCUACACAUCUUUAAAACUGAGAUGCUGGAACAACGAGACUUGCAUUGUGAAAUGGGCUGCAAUUUUAAAUGGUAUAAAUACCACUUAGGUAUACAGUAAGCAUAUCCUUUGAGCAACACAAAGCAUGUUUGUAAAUGCUGUUAAGCCAGAGUACAUAGCCACUACUUAAAAAUGACAGAUAUAUCAGCAAAACUCAGGAUGAUUCCGUGAAGAAUUUGCACGGGGGUGGUGGGGGGAAGGAAUAAAAGAGUUGUGCACACGCUGAACAUUGUUUCCAAUGAAUAACUCUUCAAAUGUUUGGUACAAUUCACAUAGACUUAGGCAUGAGUUCAAAUGUACAGGAUGCACAAAACACCCACCUGCUCGGAAUUGCUGCCAUCAUUUGCUAGGAGGAAAAGUUUGCAAAAGGAAAACUUCACAUUGUGUGGAAUUAAUUGCCAUCGAAAGCUAAUUAGAGGGGGCAGCAGGAAAUUACCAUUGAAACAAUUGUGUUGCAUGAAAAAAACAACAACACCACAAUCCAGUGUCCUUUUGUUCUAUUUGAGCACUAUUGUCCCAUGGCUAAAAUGAAAGAAGAAAUAGCUGCAAAGGUGAAUGUGAUUUCCUUGCAUCUGAAAUGGUGUAGUUUAUAGUCAUAAGAAGCAGGGAAUGGGAUAGAGGAGGAUUUCAUUCAGAACAUAUUUUGAAGCUAACUGACCUAAUUCACAGUUCCCAAACCUUGGAAAUAGAAAAGACUUUUUUUUUUAAAGGGAAGAGUGUAUAAAAAUGCAUACAAUUUAAAUAUUAUGUGGGUGGGUGUCUGGGUGGCUUUAAAAAGUGAUCUACAGAAAAUGGGAGGGAAUGGACUUACGAUGGAAUGCAGUGAUUAUAUGAACUGCUUCUGUAGAUAUUUGUAUAUAUAUUUAACUCACAAUAAUAAAUACUGCACUAAAGAACCUGGGACUCUGAGCAUUCUGCUAAAAGUGCCGCGAGGAAUUCGCGACAGCAGCGGUUCGAAUCCCCACAACUAGGGGUGAGCUCCCAUUGCUCGGUCCCUGCUCCUGCCAACCUAGCAGUUCGAAAGCACGCCACAGUGCAAGUAGAUAAAUAGGUACCUCUCUGGUGGGAAGGUAAACGGCGUUUCCAUGCACUGCUCUGGUUAGCCAGAAGCGGCUUAGUCAUGCUGGCCACAUGACCCGGAAGCUGUACACCGGCUCCCUCGGCCAAUAAAGUGAGAUGAGCACCGCAACCCCAGAGUUGUCCGCGACUGGACCUAAUGGUCCGGGGUCCCUUUACCUUUACCUUUAUAUCUGACUAUGGGUGGCUUCCAACACAUAUAAAAACAUAAUAAGCCAUUAAACAUUUUUUUGUUAAAAAAACAACCUUCCCUAUACAGAGCUGCCUUCAGAUGUCUUCUAAAAGUUGUAUAGAGUGGUACCUCGUGUUAAGAACUUAAUUCAUUCUGGAGGUCCGUUCUUAACCUGAACUGUUCUUAACCUGAAGCAACACUUUAGCUGAUGGGGCCUCCCACUGCCACUGUGCCACCGCUACACGAUUUCUGUUCUCAUCGUGAAGCAAAGUUCUUAACCCGAGGUAAUAUUUCUCGGUUAGCAGAGUCUGUAACCUGAAGCGUAUGUAACCCGAGGUACCCUUAAAGUUACUUAUCUCCUUGGCUCCGCAUAACUCCAUAUUCUCUGAUGAAAAUAGUGACGUCCUAAAGGAAAGUGGGACAUUCCGGGAUCAAAUCAGGAACCGGGAUGGUCCCUGGAAAAUAGGGACACUUGGUGGGUCUAACAACAUCACUCUCCUCACCUGGAAUUCCCAGCAACUGGCAUUUGAGCUGGUGGUCAUGACUCCUUCUUUUGCUUCCCUCCAUAACUUUGGCCCCUGACAGAUUAUGUCACAGUGCCCGGGAUGGAGUGAGGGUCCAUGGAGAACGUAGCUUUCCAGUUUUGCAACCAUCAGCGAUUGUCAGACUCUGACUAACUCAAACCUUGAAACACUUAAAAGUACAAGGAUAUAUUUGUCUGAUCUUGUUUUGAUUCUGUUGGGACUACUACAGAGAGAAUAAAACAUUUGGUAAGUUUUCUGAUAGUCUCUUGCAUUCUUUCUUUCCGUUUAAAGUGGCAAAAGCCCGUUCUCGAGUUCAGACACGCAGGUAACAUCAGCAAAGUUACACUGGAAUAAAAUGAAGGCCCCAAAGCUAAGUGGCUGACAAAAAAGAUCACACUCUGGCAUCUCUCAGAUCUUACUCGCAAUGCAACAACGUCUGGGGCAGGCACAUUCGCUGAAACAGUUCAAAGCAUAUGGAAAGAAUUAGUCCACCAUGCCAGAGGUCCUUACUUCUUUAGAACUCAAGAGUCCAGACCACUCCUCCUUAAUAAAUCAGUACAGGCUGUUGUGGCCAUGUUGGUGCACAAACAUUCAGAGAGAGACAAACCCACAGUUGCUACUUACUUAACAAAAUCAUUUGUUCGCUGUCUCUUCCAACAGCAUCAGAUGUGCGGCACAUGAAGUAAAACAAAUGAAACAGCUACAAAAUAAAAUAUGAACCUAACCCUGUGAAGAAAAUGCAAUAAGCAGAACUCAGCAAAUAAACUACACCCGCUUAAGAUGAAGACUUAUCAGGUAAGACUGGUUUUACCAACCUUUAUAAAUGUACAGUUUUACCAUGGGAAAUUCAGUUUGUUCCAGAGUUUCAGGACAGUUGAUAUAAACUUCCAGUAGCUGUAUGCGAAACCAAAUACACCCAUACUCAAUACAGGGAGCAGUAACUUGGUUGUUGCUGUUGCUGUUGUUAGGAUAUCAUUAUUUUAUGAUGCUAGGUGUAGAGAAGGUGGAUCUGACUAGACUGAAAUGACCUCACAAGUCAAAUGGGGAGGCCUAAUUCGUCCCAUGAACUGGAGGUGUUAUGCCUUCAGCUGGCAGGAGGAAAUCAAAGUAUAAUUUCCCAAGGAACUAAGAAGAGAACUAAAAGAGUUUCAAUAAAAUAUGCAAUAUUCUCUUCUGGCAAGCUAGGUGUCCCCCAUCUUAUAUUUGUGCAGCUGGCUCUUCCUGCUUAAAUGCAGAACCUUACAUUUGUCCCUACUGAAAUUCAUUUUGUUAGUUGGGGCCUAGGUCUCCAACCUGUUAAGGUCAUUUUGAAUCCUGGUUCUUUUUUAUGUGGCAUUAGCUACCUCUCCCAGUUUGCAAAUUUGAUGAGCAUCCCUUCAAUUCUUUUGUCCAAGUCAUUUAUAAAGACGUUGAACAACAACAGGCCCAGGACAGAACCCUGUGGCACCCCACUUGUCACUUUUUUCCAGGAUGAGGAGGAACCAUUAAUGAGUACUCGUUGGGUUCGGUCAGUCAACCAGCUACAAAUCCACAUAACAGUUAUCUCAUCCAGUCCACAUUUUACCAGCUUCUCUGCAAGAGUACUAUGGGGGACUAUAUCAAAUGCCUUACUGAAAUCAAGAUACACUAUGUUCACAGCACCCUGAUCUACCAAGUUUUAAUUCUAUCAAAAGGAGAAUAUAUCAAAAAGAGAUAUAAAAGCAGGUAAAGAAUGAACAGUGGGAAGAAUGCACACAAUUUGGUUGGAAUCAUUUUCUUGGUUACUAAUACAGAGGAGAUUUCAUUUUGUUUUUUUAAGAGCACCAUUUCAGCCAUGUGAAAACGAGACUCUGUAAUGCUGCCAAGGUCAGCAAGACCAAAUGAGAUUUGCUUAAUGAGCACUGAUUAAAUAAUAAUGAUGAAGACAAAAACCCCAAACCCUAAGGGGAUUGAUCUAUUAUGUCACCACUCCCUGGAGAAACUAUCCUGAGCGAGCUCUUCUAGCUUGACUAAGACAAACCAUGUUUCUUUGCCAGAAAAGAUUUCUUUGAAAAGUGUCAGCUACAUGUAUUAAUACACAGGGUAUAGGGAUGAGUGAAUCUGUCCAUUUCAUGUUCUCUUGGUUUCACAUUUUUUUUCAGUCUUAAAUUCAGCUCUCCACAUGUCCACAUCAGUUUCCCUUAAAAAAAAAAUUCCUCAUGGAAAUUAAUUAUUAGUGGCUGCAUCACACUGUUCGCUCAGGUUAUGCUUGUGGUCCACCAAGACCCCUAGAUCCUUUUCACAUGUACUGCUAGGAAGCCAGGUGUGUUUCCAAGGGCAUAAGCUUUAAAUUUUUGAGGCAUUGCAGUCCUGCCAGAAAAGUCCACAAUAGCUAUAUAAAACUGGCUGAUCACGGAAGCUGUUUAUCAGCUACAGAUAUUCCAUCCCUGGUUCUUUCCAAAUCUUCAUUGUAGCACUUUCUGGAUCCUGUCCCCCCAUACAUUGAAUUAGUCACUUUUAAGAUGAAAUAUGCACCCAUUUUCAUAUAUUACCUGGCUGGUGGACUUUAUACCUUAACACACAAAAAACGAUUACAAGCCAAAAAAGUUAAUGAGAUAUGGGCUGGGAGUUCCACACGCAUCAUUUACAAUCUUCUUGCACCUCUUUUAUCUAGACAUAUAUGGUAUUUAUUUGCAAAGGUUUUAUGAUGGGCUAUAAAAUAAGCGUAUCCUCUAAAUAAUUUGGUAACCAGGAACAGCUUUGAUUGAAAUGGAAAAGUUUUAAUGUUCUGAUAGCGCUUCCUUUAUCGCAUUGCUCUUUAUUACAAAUUCUGAGUCAAACAGGAAAGAGAAAAACACCCUACACGAAUAUGAGGAAAUAUCAUUGGAAAGUAUUUUUGUAAUUCAAGUCUUGCAGUAACGUUGCCACAAUUCAUUUUCUUAAUUAUCUUGAAAAUCGUUUGCCCUGAGUGUUAACACAUAUUUUUUUUUGCAUGGUAAUAUAUGUAAAAAGCCUUUGGGGUUUAAUGAAUUAUGUAACAUAUGUUUUCUUUUCACCAGGACUGGAGAUCAGGAGUGGAAGUCUCAUAAAUAUGGGAAAUUAUUAUUACGAUUAUUGUUAGAACUUGAGAAAAACCAGCUUGUCAGCGAAGUGUGUGUAUGUGCAUUUUCUGAAGUCCUUCAGAGUUGCAGCAGCUUGUUCGAUAUGCGAUAUUGAAAUAUGACACUGAUGUGUGCGUGC